rnacentral:rRNA from 1 species
AUUGAACGCUGGCGGCAGGCUUAACACAUGCAAGUCGAGCGGAGCGGCGGACGGGUGCGUAAUGCCUAGGUAUCUGCCUGGUCCUGGGGGAUAACGUCCGGUAACGGGCGCUAAUACCGCAUACUAUCAGAUGAGCCUCGGUCGGAUUAGCUAGUUGGUGGGGUAAAGGCCUAUCAAGGCGACGAUCCGUAACUGGUCUGAGAGGAUGAUCAGUCCCACUGUAACUGAGACACGGUCCAGACUCCUACGGGAGGCAGCAGUGGGGAAUAUUGGACAAUGGGCGAAAGCCUGAUCCAGCCAUGCCGCGUGUGUGAAGAAGGUCUUCGGAUUGUAAAGCACUUUAAGUUGGGAGGCGGUACCAACAGAAUAAGCACCGGCUAACUUCGUGCCAGCAGCCGCGGUAAUAC